GAUGAAGAACGUAGCGAAUGCGAUAAGUAAUGUGAAUUGCAGAAUUCAGUGAAUCAUCGAAUCUUUGAACGCACAUUGCGCCCGCCAGUAUUCUGGCGGGCAUGCCUGUCCGAGCGUCAUUUCAACCCUCGGGACCCUUCGGGGAACCGGUGUUGGGGACCCGUCCGCCGACCCACGGCGGCCGGCCCCGAAAUACAGUGGCGGCCCUGCGGCGACCUCCUCUGCGUAGUAGCGAUACCUCGCAGCUGGAAAGCGGCAGCGGCCACGCCGUAAAACCCCCACUUCUAUGGUUGACCUCGGAUCAGGUAGGAACACCCGCUGAACUUAAGCAUAUCAAUAAGCGGAGGA
rnacentral:misc_RNA from 1 species